rnacentral:rRNA from 1 species
UCCGCUCCGACCCUUAGCUCGGAGCCGACCGCGCCAAUCGGGGACGGAUGGUUGGACGCCGCCCCGGAAGCCGCAAUCCCUACGGCAAUCAAGCCGAAUACCAGCCAGGUCCUUUGUGAGGCCUGUGACUCCAAGGUGCCGGACUCUAUUCCAAACUCCGGAUCUUCCACACCCCUUCCGAUCGAACCCAAUUGGGCUCCAAUCAUGGAGUUCACCGCCGCGGACGUCUUUCAGCACUCGCCCUUUGGCGACAUCCUGAAUUCACUAAAGUCUCUCUCCUUGUCAGGAGAGCCCUGGCCGGACUAUGGUCAGCAAGGUUGGGAUGCGGACGACGAAGAAAUUUGA